CAAUAGCGUAUAUUAAAGCUGUUGCGGUUAAAAAGCUCGUAGUUGGAUUUCUGUCAAGGACAACUGGUCCGCCCUCCGGGUGAGCACAUAGUUUGGUCUUGGUAUCUUGCUGGAAACUGUUGCUGCACUUGGCUGUGUGGCGCAGCGUCCAGCACUUUCACUUUGAGGAAAUUGGAGUGUUUCAAGCAGGCACAUGCCUUUGGACACAGUAGCAUGGAAUAAUUAGAUUGGGCUUUUGCUCCAAUUUGUCGGUUUCUGGAGCUGAGGUGAGAAUUAAUGGGGAUUGUUGGGGGCAUCCGAAUUUAGCCGUCAGAGGUGAAAUUCUUGGAUCUGCUAAAGACGGACAACUGCGAAAGCGUUUGCCCAGGAUGUUUUCAUUG
rnacentral:rRNA from 1 species